GGGCUCGUGGUGUAAUUGGAAGCACGCCGCUCUUGCAAAGCGGAGGCGGGGUUCGAAUCCUCUCGAGUCCA
rnacentral:tRNA from 1 species